rnacentral:rRNA from 1 species
CACGCCGCGUGAGUGAAGAAGGUUUUCGGAUCGUAAAACUCUGUUGUUGGAGAAGAACACGUUUGAGAGUAACUGUUCAGACGUUGACGGUAUCCAACCAGAAAGCCACGGCUAACUACGUGCCAGCAGCCGCGGUAAUACGUAGGUGGCAAGCGUUAUCCGGAUUUAUUGGGCGUAAAGCGAGCGCAGGCGGUUUCUUAAGUCUGAUGUGAAAGCCUUCGGCUUAACCGAAGAAGUGCAUCGGAAACUGGGAAACUUGAGUGCAGAAGAGGACAGUGGAACUCCAUGUGUAGCGGUG